AAUACGUAGGGGGCAAGCGUUACUCGGAAUUACUGGGCGUAAAGCGUGCGUAGGUGGUCGUUUAAGUCCGUUGUGAAAGCCCUGGGCUCAACCUGGGAACUGCAGUGGAUACUGGGCGACUAGAAUGUGGUAGAGGGUAGCGGAAUUCCUGGUGUAGCAGUGAAAUGCGUAGAGAUCAGGAGGAACAUCCAUGGCGAAGGCAGCUACCUGGACCAACAUUGACACUGAGGCACGAAAGCGUGGGGAGCAAACAGGA
rnacentral:rRNA from 1 species